UACGUAGGUGGCAAGCGUUGUCCGGAUUUACUGGGCGUAAAGAGCGCGCAGGCGGUCGUUCAAGUCGCGUGUGAAAGCCCCCGGCUCAACUGGGGAGGGUCACGCGAUACUGAUCGACUCGAAGGCAGGAGAGGGUAGUGGAAUUCCCGGUGUAGUGGUGAAAUGCGUAGAUAUCGGGAGGAACACCAGUGGCGAAGGCGAGUCUCUGGACGACUCCUGACACUGAGGCACGAAAGCUAGGGGAGCAAACAGG
rnacentral:rRNA from 1 species